rnacentral:piRNA from 1 species
UGCCCAUUCUGAGGUGUGAAGGUUCC